CCCGCUGAACUUAAGCAUAUCAAUAAGCGGAGGAAAAGAAACCAACAGGGAUUGCCUCAGUAACGGCGAGUGAAGCGGCAACAGCUCAAAUUUGAAAUCUGGCUCUUUUAGGGCCCGAGUUGUAAUUUGUAGAGGAUGCUUCGGUCUCGGCUCCGGUCUAAGUUCCUCGGAAGAGGACGUCCUGGAGAGUGAGAAUGCCUUCUGUGAUCGGUUGCCUUUACCAUGUGAAGCUCCAUCGACGAGGCGAGAUUGGUGGGCAUGCAGCUCUCAACGCGGAAUGGAUUUCUUACUAAGCCUAAAGCUGGUCUUAAACUAAAAACCGAUAGCGAACAAGUACCGUGAGGGAAAGAUGAUAAGCACUUUGGAAAGAGAGUUAAACAGUAUGUGAAAUUGUUGAAAGGGAAACGUUUGAAGUCAGUCGCGUCGGCCGAGACUCAGCCUUGCUUCCGCUCGGUGCACUUCUCGGUUGACGGGUCAGCAUCAAUUUCGACCGCCGGAUAAAGGUAGAGGGAACGUGACAUCUUUCGAGGUGUGUUAUAGCCCUUGAUUCGCAUACUGCGAUUGGGAUUGAGGAACUCAGCGCGCCUUUAUGGUCUGGGUAGCAACCCACGUAACUCGCUCAGGAUGCUGGCAUAAUGGCUUUAAGCGACCCGUCUUGAAACACGG
rnacentral:rRNA from 1 species